AGAGUUUGAUCCUGGCUCAGAACGAACGCUGGCGGCGUGGAUAAGACAUGCAAGUCGCACGGAGAAAAGAUAGUUUACUAGCUUUUCUGAGUGGCGCACGGGUGAGUAACACGUGAGCAACCUGCCUCUUAGUGGGGGAUAGCCCUGGGAAACCGGGAUUAAUACCGCAUAUCAUCGCAAGAUGAAAGCAGCAAUGCGCUAAGAGAGGGGCUCGCGGCCUAUUAGUUAGUUGGUGAGGUAACGGCUCACCAAGGCGAUGACGGGUAGCCGGUCUGAGAGGAUGUCCGGCCACACUGGAACUGAGACACGGUCCAGACACCUACGGGUGGCAGCAGUCGAGAAUCAUUCACAAUGGGGGAAACCCUGAUGGUGCGACGCCGCGUGGGGGAAGAAGGUCUUCGGAUUGUAAACCCCUGUCAUGUGGGAGCAAGCUAGCAAUAGUUGAUAGCACCACAAGAGGAAGAGACGGCUAACUCUGUGCCAGCAGCCGCGGUAAUACAGAGGUCUCAAGCGUUGUUCGGAAUCACUGGGCGUAAAGGGUACGUAGGCUGUACCAUAAGUCGGGCGUGAAA
rnacentral:rRNA from 1 species